GUGGAUGUAGCUCAGUUGGUUAGAGCAUUGGUUUGUGGUACCAAGGGUCGCCGGUUCAAAUCCGGUCUUCCACCCCA
rnacentral:tRNA from 1 species